UACGGGGGGGGGCAAGCGUUGUUCGGAAUUACUGGGCGUAAAGGGCUCGUAGGCGGCCAACUAAGUCGGAUGUGAAAUCCCCCAGGCUUAACCUGGGAACUGCAUCCGAUACUGGAUGGCUUGAAUCCGGGAGAGGGAUGCAGAAUUCCAGGUGUAGCGGUGAAAUGCGUAGAUAUCUGGAGGAAUACCGGUGGCGAAGGCGGCAUCCUGGACCGGCAUUGACGCUGAUGAGCGAAAAGCUAGGGGAGCAAACGGG
rnacentral:rRNA from 1 species